rnacentral:rRNA from 1 species
GACGAACGCUGGCGGCAUGCCUAACACAUGCAAGUCGAACGAGACCACCGGGUCUUGUGGCGCACGGGUGCGUAACCCGAGGGAACCUGCCCUUAUGUUCGGAAUAACUCCCCGAAAGGGGUGCUAAUACCGGACAAUGUCUUCGGACCAAAGAUAUAUCGCCCUUGGUUGGGCCCGCGUUGGAUUAGCUAGUUGGUAGGGUAAAAGACUACCAAGGCGACGAUUCAUAGCUGGUAUGAGAGAAUGAUCAGCAACACCGGGACUGAGACGCGGCCCGGACUCCUACGCGAGGGAGCAGAGGGGGACAGAGCAACACCGGCGGAAGGAUGAAGGAGCAAUGACGCGAGAGUGAUGUAGGCCUUAGGGUUGUAAUGCUCUUUUAACCGGGAUGAUAAUGACAGUACCGGGAGAAUAAGCUCCGGCUAACUCCGUG